rnacentral:lncRNA from 1 species
GCAGUGGGAGAAGUGUGAGCUCUCUGUCUGUUACAAGGGACCAUGGGAGAGGACUGAGUACAGAAGAGCUUUGGGAUGUCAAGUCUCCAGAUGGUUACUGUCAGAGGUUGCAGCAGGUGGAAGGCAGAAGAUGCAUGUGAAAUUAGCAGAGAGGACAGCACAGGGCUGAGAGCCCAAUUCUUCUUGACCGGAGAGACCAAGUGAGUCAGAAACACACGUUACUGAGACUUUGAGACAAUGUGAUUCAGAUGACAGGCUGCUGAAGUUUGGGAUUGUGGACUUAGGUAAAAACAGAGUGACACUACAAUCAACUCUUGUAAAUCAUGUUUAUAGUAGGCUGAACAAAUUGGUGAUGUUUUCAGAAAGGUGCAUUAUUUUCUGUCUCUCAGUGCUGAUAUGUAGCUUUAGCCAUUCUGUGGGUGGCUAGGAAAAUAUCAAUGUGUCAGUAAAUUAUAGGCAUAUUUUUUUUUCUCCAAGGACUUGGAGACAUUCUUAUGAUUACAACAGUCAGGUCUUAAAUACUGCAUGCUCCAGAUGUUGAGUACAAACCUGCCAAAAAGGUUAUGCUUCAGCAACAUCAAAUCCUGCUGGCCAUGUCUGCUUGCAUAGGUGUAAAUUAAAUGUGAAUCAUCUGUGGUCAGUGCAGGCAUUAAUCAUCAUGUCAGUGUCGCAGUGAGCAGCAUUUGACCUUCAACUGCAUUUCUAGAUCUACUACCAUGCUACAACUUCACCAUGGAAAUGCUGAUGGUGCACCACAAGCUUUUGAGUGCAGUUUAUCACCAGUGGUGCUUUAGGAAGCAGCUCAGUGGUUUGUACUCUGUGCCUGUGAGGUGAAGCACGUGGGUUGUUGUGUGUUUGAUCAGGAUCAAAAUCCAUCUGCCAAGGCACUUUGCCACUAUGUGAUACCUUUCCUUUUUUCCCCACAAUCUUACCUUGUCAGAGUUGGUAAUGCCUGUUCCCAAAGAGCUGUGAUUGGAGCAUUGAGCAGCAUCUCCAGAUGACAAAUAAAGGAAGAAACAGCUCUCAGGUUGUACCAGACCUGAAAAGUAAUUAUGUAUCAGCUACUUGGAAAGGAGACUUACUGCCAGAAUGUAGCAGAAUCCAGCCAUCAAACUCAUCUGGGACUCAUUUCUUCCUUUUUCUUCUCAUCUCAAGUGGAGUAUGCUUAAUUCCCUUUUGGAGCAGCAAAAAUGGCAUGGAAAGAGGGAUGAGAAGUUGA